ACAACACGGACACCAUCUUCCCAGCAUUUUUGAAGCAGGAUGGACUUGGUCAUCCAGCCUAUUAAGUGUCUCGCUUGACCGUGACUGUCAGCCAAUCACCGCUAGAGGGCAUCCUAUAAAGGGGGGCGUAUUAUCGUUUCCUGUCUCUUAAGCGUUCUAUUGAUGGACACCCGCUUUCUGGUCAUUUUGUCAGUUUGAUGACGGCGUUACGACGGUCGCUCGCUGCUCCUGUCGGCGACUCUUCAUCAUGGCUUUGUAUUCGCCGACCCUCAGCCUGCGGCCCUCCACGAUACAGGUUGUGGCCAGGGGCCUCAGUGGAAAAAGUUUGGACACCCCUGAUGGAAACAUGACUGCCCCCUGCAGCACACGUCGUGAAUAACAGCGCAGAACUCUGACAAGACAUCAAACGGCGUGGCCUCAAACUGUUCGCUAAAACCUUUUGUUCACCAUAUUUCGCCGCUUCGUUUGGACCUGCUGCCGAUGAUGUGUGUCCGCCUGAGCAGGUGUCAGUUUCACAAGUAUGAAACGAGAUGAAAUGGUUCUCGGAGAUGAAUUAAAACCAUUGUUGGCGUCACAGUG